GUCCCAAUGGCGCAGUGGGAUUAUGGCUGCACCCACAAGACCGGGGUUCGAUCCCCCGCUGGGUCA